CAUUUGCUAGCUUGUAAUUUGCUCAGUCUUAGAAAACUACAAGCUAGCAAAUGUACAGAGAGCUGGCUGGUGCUAACACCACAGUUGAGACAGUGUCUUUAAUUUUUUUAAGGAUCUUUUUAAAAGCCUGUUGCCAAGGCAGAUUCUGGUCACUUGCUACUUUCAAAGCCAAAAACACAAUACAAGGUCUGACCAUUUCCCCAGGUCAUGCUUACUAGUUUGUCUUUAUGUACAUUUAUACAUAUUUAAGUGCUAGGUAAAAGUCUUGUCAUAAAGUUUCCAGUACUACCAUGUUUAAAACGUUGAGCUUUCCUACUGAGCUGCCAAAAAGAUUACUGAUAACAAUUUCUAGUGUUACGAGUGCGAAUUCCUCUGCAAGAUCUAUUGCAGAGAAGGGUUCUUAGAAAUACAGAUUUUCCUUAAAGGGACUGAUGUCAAAAUUUAGGUAUAAUGUCUGGGAGAAA